rnacentral:rRNA from 1 species
UAGGGAAUCUUCCGCAAUGGACGAAAGUCUGACGGAGCAACGCCGCGUGAGCGAUGAAGGCUUUCGGGUCGUAAAGCUCUGUUGUUAGGGAAGAACAAGUAUCGGAGUAACUGCCGGUACCUUGACGGUACCUAACCAGAAAGCCACGGCUAACUACGUGCCAGCAGCCGCGGUAAUACGUAGGUGGCAAGCGUUGUCCGGAAUUAUUGGGCGUAAAGCGCGCGCAGGCGGUUCCUUAAGUCUGAUGUGAAAGCCCCCGGCUCAACCGGGGAGGGUCAUUGGAAACUGGGGAACUUGAGUGCAGAAGAGGAGAGCGGAAUUCCACGUGUAGCGGUGAAAUGCGUAGAGAUGUGGAGGAACACCAGUGGCGAAGGCGGCUCUCUGGUCUGUAACUGACGCUGAGGCGCGAAAGCGUGGGGAGCGAACAGG